GCCGAGGACUGUGAAGGAAGCAGGGAGACUGAGUCUCCACCAGCUGUUUAAACUAGGGUUACUUUGACCGCUGGAAUACGGCACGUCUCAUGCAGAAGACAUGGGCACUGGUGGCAGCUUUCCACAGCGUUGUCUUAGACUGUAUGUGCUGGGGAAGCCAGGCACUGUGGAAAGGUCCAGAAGAAUGAAAGUCUCUACCAGAAGACAGCACCAACUUGCCAGCCAUGCUGGCCUUGAACUCAGGGAGAUCCUCCUGCCUCAACUUCUCCAGGGCUGUGAUUACAGGCGUGUGCCACCAUGCCUGGCAAGUGGAUUGAACUCGGGUCCUUGUGCUUGCACAGCAGGCGGUGAAACCACUCAGCUAAAUCCCCGGCCUAAAUAUGUUUCUAAUGGGAAAUGCAUAUCAUCAAAGGAUCGAACUCAGGACCUUGCACUUUCGAGGCAGGCACCGGAACCAAUGAGCUAAAUCCCUGGCCCUCCUCUCUUUUGAACGGACCUUCUCAUGUGACUCAGUUACUUUUUUUAUUAAUUCAUUUUU
ensembl:lncRNA